UCCAGCGCACUCACCUAUCCACUAAACAGCAACUUCAAUGUUGAAAGAUUUUUAGGUUUUUUUUGCCUAGAUUAGGUGUUUUAAAAAAAAAAACUAAAAAUCUUUCAACAUUGAAGUUGCUGUUUAGUGGAUAGGUGAGUGCGCUGGA